AGUAAUGCUUGCGGUGAUACUGUCAGUUAGAACGGAAUUCUGGUCUCUUUAGAAUCUUAUGAUGUGUGCUUUAACAGUGUAUAGGUUGAUGCCUAGCCAGCUCUGUUAUUCCAUAUUUCAGACCCAGAAGGCAAGAGAAAAUGGACAAAAUUCUACUUUGCAGAAGUACAACCUCACAUUCAUCAUUACAAAAUGUCAGGAUCCAGGCUUGCUCUAUGUUACUCAAAUUUUCUAAAUUAAUUCCCUUACUGUUUAUGGAAAGUACAACAAGUGUACUGCAUACCAAGCCCUUGGCUUUUGGGUGCUUUGAAGCAGAAAGGAAAAAGAAUCAAUCAUAAGUAAACAGUAAAACCACAG